AAAGAAACCAACAGGGAUUACCUCAGUAACGGCGAGUGAAGCGGUAGCAGCUCAAAUUUGAAAUCUGGGCCCCUCGGGCCCCGAGUUGUAAUUUGUAGAAGAUGCUUCGGGUGCGGCUCCGGUCUAAGUUCCUUGGAACAGGACGUCAUAGAGGGUGAGAAUCCCGUAUGUGAUCGGCGGCCUGCGCCCGUGUGAAGCUCUUUCGACGAGUCGAGUUGUUUGGGAAUGCAGCUCAAAAUGGGUGGUAAAUUUCAUCUAAAGCUAAAUAUUGGCCAGAGACCGAUAGCGCACAAGUAGAGUGAUCGAAAGAUGAAAAGCACUUUGGAAAGAGAGUUAAACAGUACGUGAAAUUGUUGAAAGGGAAGCGCUUGCAACCAGACUUGCGCGGGGCCGAUCAUCCGGGGUUCUCCCCGGUGCACUCGACCCCGCUCAGGCCAGCAUCGGUUCCGGUGGUGGGAUAAAGGCCGUGGGAACGUAGCUCCUCUCGGGGAGUGUUAUAGCCCUCGGUGCAAUGCCGCCUACUGGGACCGAGGACCGCGCUUCGGCUAGGAUGCUGGCGUAAUGGUUGUAAGCGGCCCGUCUUGAAACACGGACCAAGGAGUCUAACAUCUAUGCGAGUGUUUGGGUGUCAAACCCAUACGCGUAAUGAAAGUGAACGGAGGUGAGAACCCUUAAGGGUGCAUCAUCGACCGAUCCUGAUGUCUUCGGAUGGAUUUGAGUAGGAGCAUAGCUGUUGGGACCCGAAAGAUGGUGAACUAUGCCUGAAUAGGGUGAAGCCAGAGGAAACUCUGGUGGAGGCUCGCAGCGGUUCUGACGUGCAAAUCGAUCGUCAAAUUUGGGUAUAGGGGCGAAAGACUAAUCGAA
rnacentral:rRNA from 1 species